rnacentral:rRNA from 1 species
UAAGGCAUCAUGGCCUGUACCCGAAACCGACACAGGUGGGGUGGUAGAGAAUACCGAGGGGCGCGAGGUAACUCUCUCUAAGGAACUCGGCAAAAUGGCCCCGUAACUUCGGGAGAAGGGGUGCCACCGCAAGGUGGUCGCAGUGAAGAGGCCCAGGCGACUGUUUACCAAAAACACAGGUCUCCGCUAAGUCGCAAGACGAUGUAUGGGGGCUGACGCCUGCCCAGUGCCGGAAGGUUAAGGAAGCUGGUCAGCGCAAGCGGAGCUAGCGACUGAAGCCCCGGUGAACGGCGGCCGUAACUAUAACGGUCCUAAGGUAGCGAAAUUCCUUGUCGGGUAAGUUCCGACCCGCACGAAAGGCGUAACGAUCUGGGCGCUGUCUCGGAGAGAGGCUCGGCGAAAUAGAAUUGUCUGUGAAGAUGCGGACUACGUGCACCCGGACAGAAAGACCCUAUGAAGCUUUACUGUAGCUUGGUAUUGUGCCCGGGCUCGCAAUGCGCAGGAUAGGUGGGAGGCUUUGAUCAUCGGCUUGCGGGUCGAUGUGAGCCAACGGUGGGAUACCACUCUUUGCGAGCUAGGGUUCUAACGGCCACCCGUCAUCCGGGGGCCGGACAGUACCUGGUGGGCAGUUUGACUGGGGCGGUCGCCUCCUAAAAGGUAACGGAGGCGCGCAAAGGUUUGCUCAGGCUGGUUGGAAAUCAGCCGACGAGUGUAAAAGCAGAAGCAAGCUUGACUGUGAGACCAACAAGUCGAACAGGGAGGAAACUCGGCUUUAGUGAUCCGACGGUUCUGAGUGGAAGGGCCGUCGCUCAACAGAUAAAAGUUACUCUAAGGAUAACAGGCUGAUCUCCCCCAAGAGUUCACAUCGACGGGGAGGUUUGGCACCUCGAUGUCGGCUCAUCGCAACCUGGGGCUGAAGUCGGUCCCAAGGGUUGGGCUGUUCGCCCAUUAAAGCGGUACGCGAGCUGGGUUCAGAACGUCGUGAGACAGUUCGGUCCAUAUCCGGUGCACGCGCAGGAAUAUUGAGAGGAUUUCUCCCUAGUACGAGAGGACCGGGAGGAACGCACCUCUGGUGUACCAGUUAUCGUGCCAACGGUAAACGCUGGGUAGCCAUGUGCGGAGUGGAUAACCGCUGAAAGCAUCUAAGUGGGAAGCCCACCUCAAGAUGAGUAUUCCCAUGGCGUAAGCCAGUAAGGUCACGGGAAGAACACCCGUUGAUAGGCUCUAUGUGGAAGCGCAGUAAUGCGUGAAGCAGAGGAGUACUAAUAGACCGAGGGCUUGAC